rnacentral:ncRNA from 1 species
CACCUUGCUGGUCGGGGCCAUGGUUUAACGACGGCGGCAAGGGAAGAGGCUCCUACCGUGGGAUAGACCUGAAACAGGAGCGUGGGUGGCGAGGCUUAGAACCCAAGGUCGGAAAGUCUGGCGAGU